rnacentral:piRNA from 1 species
UGAAUGAGUGAAUAAAUGAAGGGAGG